CCCGGUGGUCACAGGCUCCAUCCGCUUGCCGCUGACGCGAUCCGUAUAGGCUUCUUUCGGGGCCACAGAGCGAAGAUAGAACAGGGCAAAGCCGAACGGCGGAUGCAUGAACGAGGUUUGCAUGUUUACGCCGAGGAUCACGCCGAACCAGAUCAGAUCGAUGCCGAGCUUUUCGGCCGCGGGGCCGAGCAGGGGGAUGACAA
rnacentral:misc_RNA from 1 species